rnacentral:rRNA from 2 species
GAGUUUGAUCGUGGCUCAGAUUGAACGCUGGCGGCAUGCCUUACACAUGCAAGUCGAACGGCAGCACGGGAGCAAUCCUGGUGGCGAGUGGCGAACGGGUGAGUAAUACAUCGGAACGUGCCCAGUAGUGGGGGAUAGCCCGGCGAAAGCCGGAUUAAUACCGCAUACGACCUGAGGGUGAAAGCGGGGGAUCGCAAGACCUCGCGCUAUUGGAGCGGCCGAUGUCGGAUUAGCUAGUUGGUGGGGUAAAGGCUCACCAAGGCAACGAUCCGUAGCUGGUCUGAGAGGACGACCAGCCACACUGGGACUGAGACACGGCCCAGACUCCUACGGGAGGCAGCAGUGGGGAAUUUUGGACAAUGGGCGCAAGCCUGAUCCAGCCAUGCCGCGUGCGGGAAGAAGGCCUCGG